rnacentral:lncRNA from 1 species
AUGUGUCAUCGAGCUUAGAAUUAUAAGGAGACGCCGUUUUGAUAUUGACGUAUCUAUAGGUAUAUAAAUAUGAAACAAACUAUGCAACAUAGUUCUGUCUCACUCUUUCUAAGCAGAUAAGUGUAUUUGAAAACAGGGACAACAAUAUUUUUGUGAUUGCGUAAAAUGGUGACAUUUACUUUUGAAAUCCUUCUGCGUGCCUUAUCUGGCCAUAUAUGUCAUGGUAGUUGUGCUGUCAAAUAGGUGCUCUUCGUGACUUAUUUUUGCUAUUUUAUAGAAUAUCACUCGUGUUUACUUUUAAGACUUUACUAUUUCAAUAGUGAAAUAAUCAACGAAUAUGCCUAUGUGUUGUAUUGUGAAGUGUGGUGCUAGGAAGCACCAAAAUCAAGCUGGAUUGUCUUUACACAGUGCUUCCGCACAGACGAGCAAAUCGGAAUGCAAGUUGCAAUAUUUGCUUGAGAACUUAGUUACCGAGUAUAGAUUUCGAAUUGUAUAAAUAUUUUUUUCUUAGCACUAAAAUUGUUUUGUACAAUCGAUUAAUACAUAAUUAGCUCCAUUUGCAUUAUAUAACUUUCUCAUGAAUAGCUUGAAAACGAUUUUAAAUUAUUGUAUUUUUUUAAAGAGAGUAUCUCUUUAUGGCGUUUCUUGCGGAUUCUUCUUCAUAGGACCGAAUCUUUGGCACCCUGCAACUAGUCUGACGUGAAAGAACUUUCAUAGGACUAUUUGAAAUAAUAAAUAAUUACUUUGCCUGUUUUUUUUUUUUCAAAGGUAUCACCCUACUGAAAUGACUCCUCCCAUUUGGUUGAUGUUGUUGAGGUUAUUAGUAUCAGUGAAGUUAAUGUGAUAGUUAGUUCUAUGACGAAGAGAUUAUUUAUACUCGGUUAUUUUUAUGCACCCAGUAAGACUCGUACAUACUUCUAACUAGAAUACAAUAUCGAUAUUUGUUGAAUCCGGUAGCGGUACAACCCUAGUAAUGGCAGCCAUUUUAGU